rnacentral:rRNA from 1 species
UACGUAGGGUGCAAGCGUUAAUCGGAAUUACUGGGCGUAAAAGGGUGCGCAGGCGGCUUGCUAAGACAGGUGUGAAAGCCCCGAGCUUAACUUGGGAAUGGCGCUUGUGACUGGCAGGCUGGAGUGUGGCAGAGGGAGGUGGAAUUCCACGUGUAGCAGUGAAAUGCGUAGAGAUGUGGAGGAACACCGAUGGCGAAGGCAGCCUCCUGGGCCAACACUGACGCUCAUGCACGAAAGCGUGGGGAGCAAACAGG